rnacentral:rRNA from 1 species
GGGGGGAAAACCCCCGUGGGGAGAAAACCCCCCUGGUUGUAAACCUCUUUUUUCAGGGAGGAAAAAAAUGACGUGUACCUGAAAAAUAAGCAUCGGCUAACUCCGUGCCAGCAGCCGCGGUAAGACGGAGGAUGCAAGUGUUAUCCGGAAUCACUGGGCGUAAAGCGUCUGUAGGUGGUUUAAUAAGUCAACUGUUAAAUCUUGAGGCUUAACCUCAAAACAGCAGUCGAAACUAUUAGACUAGAGUAUAGUAGGGGUAAAGGGAAUUUCCAGUGGAGCGGUGAAAUGCGUAGUUAAAGAACACCGAUGGCGAAGGCACUUUACUGGGCUAUNACUAACACU